CCUGGUUGAUCCUGCCAGUAGUCAUAUGCUUGUUUCAAGGAUUAAGCCAUGCAAGUCUCAGAGUAAGUGGAUUAACAGUGGAUCUGCAGACGGCUCAUUAAAUCAGCUGCAAUCUGCGCCGGGAAGGAGCUACAAGGCGCCCAAUGGAUAUCAAGCGUAACUCGCUUGUUAAUACAUGUCCGAAAAUCGCAACUCAGAUUCCACCUGGGAAGGGAAACCAACUCAGGCUGAGGUGUGAGCAAUUGACCGAAACAAGAACCAACGCCUGCAAAGGCAGCGGUGAGUGGAUGACACAGGUCAAUCGAGCGAUAGCACAUGCCUUCGGGCGGUGCAAGCCGGCAAGAGCAUCUGCCCUAUCAGCUUUUGACGGUAGUGUAGUGGACUACCGUGGCGUUAACGGGUAACGGGGAAUUAGGGUUCGAUUCCGGAGAGGGAGCCUGAGAAACGGCUACCACAUCUAAGGAUGGCAGCAGGCGCGCAAAUUGCCCAAUAGCAACACUGCUGAGGCAGCGAAGAGAAAUAGCAACUUCUGGUGCUCUGCAUCAUGGAGAUUGCAAUGGAUGAUAUCUAAACCUGUCAGUGAACUCAAUUGGUGGACAAGUCUGGUGCCAGCACCCGCGGUAAUUCCAGCACCAAUAGCGUAUAUUAAUGCUGUUGCUGUUAAAAAGCUCGUAGUUGGAUGCAGAGCCCAGGUUGUGUUGAGGCCGAUUAGUUCGGGAUUCAGCGUACUGCUGAUGAACGUUCUUUUCGGAUCCAACCCAACACAUCAAGACCUGUGCUCUAGGAAUGGUGGUAAUGGUGCCCUGCGAUUAGGUUUCUUCAUUGAGACUGAAAGCGUCUUCGCGUUAACCACACGCAUACGGGUCGACCACCGAAGUUACUGUGAACAAAUCAGUGUGUCCAAAGCAGGCGUUCGCCCUGAAUGAUAAAGCAUGGAAUAACAAGGGAUCGAUUCUCUCGAGUCUUCUUGUUGGUUUUUGCCUCGAGGAGGAGCAAUUCAAGUUACAGACUUAUUCACUUUCUCUCAGGAGAUUGUGUCUCAGACUGUGACCCAACGGGAUCAAGAGGGACUGCCGGGGUCGUACGUACUCCCACGUCAGAGGUGAAAUUCUUAGAUCGUGGGAAGACGAACUUCUGCGAAAGCAUUCGACAAGAAUGUCUUCAUUAAUCAAGAACGAGAGUGUGGGGAUCGAAGAUGAUCAGAUACCGUCGUAGUCCACUACUGUAAACGAUGCCGUCUCAGGAUCGAGAGGUGCAUAUCAAUGACCCUCACGGCACUAACCCCUGAAACGAGAAAUCAAAGAUUAUGGGUUCAGGGGGGAGUACAUUCGCAAGGCUGAAACUUAAAGGAAUUGACGGAAUGACACCACCAGGCGUGGAGUAUGCGGCUUAAUUUGACCCAACACGGGGAAUUUUACUAGGUCAGGACAGUGCCAGGAUUGACAGAUUGAGAGCUCUUUCUCGAUUUAUUGUGUGGUGGUGCAUGGCCGCUCCUGGUUGGUGGAGUGAUUUGUCUGGUUGAUUCCGUUAACGAACGAGAUCUCGACCCUUAAAUAGGCUGCCGGACGUCUCGGUCUGUCGCCC
rnacentral:rRNA from 1 species